UACGUAGGGUGCAAGCGUUAAUCGGAAUUACUGGGCGUAAAGCGUGCGCAGGCGGUUAUGUAAGACAGAUGUGAAAUGCCCGGGCUUAACCUGGGAACUGCAUUUGUGUCUGCAUGGCUAGAGUUUGGCAGAGGGGGGUAGAAUUCCACGUGUAGCAGUGAAAUGCGUAGAUAUGUGGAGGAACACCGAUGGCGAAGGCAGCCCCCUGGGUCAAGACUGACGCUCAUGCACGAAAGCGUGGGGAGCAAACAGG
rnacentral:rRNA from 1 species